rnacentral:rRNA from 1 species
CCUACGGGUGGCUGCAGUCGAGAAUCAUUCACAAUGGGGGAAACCCUGAUGGUGCGACGCCGCGUGGGGGAAUGAAGGUCUUCGGAUUGUAAACCCCUGUCAUGUGGGAGCAAAUUAAAAAGAUAGUACCACAAGAGGAAGAGACGGCUAACUCUGUGCCAGCAGCCGCGGUAAUACAGAGGUCUCAAGCGUUGUUCGGAAUCACUGGGCGUAAAGCGUGCGUAGGCUGUUUCGUAAGUCGUGUGUGAAAGGCGCGGGCUCAACCCGCGGACGGCACCUGAUACUGCGAGACUAGAGUAAGGGAGGGGGAACCGGAAUUCUCGGUGUAGCAGUGAAAUGCGUAGAUAUCGAGAGGAACACUCGUGGCGAAGGCGGGUUCCUGGACAUUAACUGACGCUGAGGCACGAAGGCCAGGGGAGCGAAAGGGAUUAGAUACCCCGGUAGUC